CCAGCAGCCAGCCAGCGUCUGUUACAUAGGCUCCUGAAUAUUGACAGAAAACCCUGACUGGGCCAGGUGCGGUGGCUCACGCCUGUAAUCCCAGCACUUUGGGAGGCCAAGGCGGGCGGAUCACAAGGUCAGGAGAUCGAGACCAUCCUGGCCAACAUGGUGAAACCCCAUCUCUACUAAAACUACAAAAAUUAGCUGGGCGUGGUGGCGCGCACCUGUAGUCCCAGCUACUCGGGAGGCUGAGGCAGGAGAAUCACUUAAUCCUGGGAGGCAUAGAUUGCAGUGAGCUGAGAUGCUACUAUUGCACUGCAGCCUGGGUGAUGAGCAAGACUCUGAAAAAAAAAAAAAUCUGACUGAUACACUUCCCCAUUGCUUAUACAGAAAAUUGGCCUUCCAGGGACCUCCAUCACCAGUCUCUGUAUAUGGAUUCCGUCAGCCCGGCAGUCUUAUCUCGCAGUCCUCUUGCCAACAGUUUGCUCUUAUUACACUGUCUAGAAUCUAUCAAGGUCUUCCGUAUUUCUGUGCUUCGGACAGGCCAUUUACUCCUAAAAAGUGUCCCACCCCCUUUUCCUUACCCUCUCCCUGCCCUCCCUGACUCCUUUUCUUCUAUGUCCAACUAAAAUGUCUGCUUUGGUGACCGUAAGUAGUUAAGGCAAAGCUAACGAGUUCUACUGUGUCUGGUAGAGAAUUCUGUAAUUGAACUCAUCACACCCUGUUGCCGGCGUGCAUUCAGAUUUCUUUUAUUUAUUUUUAUUUAUUUUGCAUUCAGAUUUCUAUCUCCUCUUCUGUACUGCUAGUUUCUUACGCUCAGGCACGUUAUGCACGGUUUGCUCUCAAACAUCUAAGAAAUUAAUGAUGACUACUUAAUAAAAUUUUAAAUAAG
rnacentral:lncRNA from 1 species